AGGCGUGCGGGGCCGGAGCGGCAUGGGCACGGCGGAGGGGCUCUGAUCCUGUGUGAAUCCCCUCCGGGCGGCCGGCGAAAGCGCUGCGGGUGAAACCUGACCUUCUUAUCUCCCCUCCCUCCCGCCGUUUUCUCCUCGCCGCCUUUGCGAAAGGAUGUGAAAAUCGCCAGAAGGGUUGAAGCCGCCAUCUCCCGGUCUCCUCACGAUAUGGAAAAUCCCCAAAAGCGCUUAGGGAGGAAAGAAACGAACCAACCAACCGAAAAAAAAAAAAAAAAAGCCCGAGGAUUGAUUUAUCAUCAGAGCUGGAGUGGUAUGGGAAGAAACCAUCGCUGCUCGCCUGCUCCCCACGACAGCUUGCCCACCAUUCGCUUAAUUAAAAUCAUACAUUGGUGUGAUCAGACGUGGUAAUGCCAUUAAAAAAAAAACAAAAACAAAAACCCAAAUCCCGUAACAUUCACAUUCUCGUUGUUGGAGGCUGUAACCAAGUCCAUGAUGGAAGUUUAUGCCUGAAUGUUUUAUUUGUCCCACAGAGAUGUAGAUUUUUCCUUGGGAGAUUUGGGAAGGAUUAUUUUUUAAUGAAAAAGAGGAAAAAAAAAAAAUACCACCGGAAAAAAAACAACAAAACAAACAAUGAAAAAGAAACUAAAAGGAAAAAAAAAGCACAACAAAACCAAACCGCAGUAAGUGAAGCUGCAAAUGCAACCGAGUAGUCCGGAUCAGAUAAUUCAUUGCACAAAGAAAGGUAAAAUGGAGCUGCAAUGGCCGGCUUUGCUGUUCAUCCAGGAGGAGGGAUCAGCUCCUUUAUCCCAA